rnacentral:rRNA from 1 species
AACGAACGCUGGCGGCAGGCCUAACACAUGCAAGUCGAGCGAGGACUUCGGUUCUAGCGGCGGACGGGUGAGUAACGCGUGGGAAUGUGCCCUUCUCUACGGAAUAGCCCUGGGAAACUGGGAGUAAUACCGUAUACGCCCUAUGGGGGAAAGAUUUAUCGGAGAAGGAUCAGCCCGCGUUGGAUUAGGUAGUUGGUGGGGUAAUGGCCUACCAAGCCGACGAUCCAUAGCUGGUUUGAGAGGAUGAUCAGCCACACUGGGACUGAGACACGGCCCAGACUCCUACGGGAGGCAGCAGUGGGGAAUCUUAGACAAUGGGGGCAACCCUGAUCUAGCCAUGCCGCGUGAGUGAUGAAGGCCUUAGGGUUGUAAAGCUCUUUCAGCUGGGAAGAUAAUGACGGUACCAGCAGAAGAAGCCCCGGCUAACUCCGUG